AUGCUGGAUCGCCGUCUCAAAGUCCUUCUUCUUGUAGGAUGCAUUCCCUGCCUCCUUCUCCUUCAGAGCAGCAGCUUUCCUCUCCUUCCGCUCCUUCUCCUCAUCAGACACCUCCAUCGGCUCCGGUUGUGGCUCAGGCUCCAUCUCCCUCGCCUUUGUCUCAGGCUGUUGCUUCUGCUGCUGCGGUGGCGGCUGCGACGGCGAGGAAGACUGCGAAAAAUCGGAGUCCUGGGGCGUCUGGAUCUUGAUGUUAAGCAUGAGGCUGAGCACCUGCAUCAUGCGCGGGUCGGACAGGUACGUGUUGAGGCUGCUGGGAUUCCGCUGCACCUCCCGCAGCAUCUGCAUGAAGUCGGACUGGUCGAGAUAGGCGCGCGUAGCGGGGUCGGAGGCGAUCUUGGUCCAGAGCUCGGGGCCCUGGAACAUCUGGCCGAUGGCGUCGGCGCCGCCAGACGGCGCGCGGCGCGGCGGGGCGCCGGCAGCCUUCUUGGCGUCAGCGAGGCCGGCCUUGAGGCCCUCGUUGCUGGGAUCGAGGGCGAGGCCCUUCUCGUAGGCGGCGGCGGCGCUGGCGGCGUCGCCGAGGCCGAGGUGGGCGGCGCCGAGGCGCGAGUAUCCCUUGGCCCAGUCGGGCUUGAGCUCGACGGUCUUCUCGGCGUCGGCGAGCGCGUCGGAGUAGCGGUGGAUCGAGGCGAGCGCCGCCGAGCGGUUGGAGUAGAGAACGUGGUUGGCGGGGGCGAGCGCGAUGGCGUCGGAGAAGUGCCCCGCCGCCUCCUCGAAGCGGCCUGCCGAGAAGGCCGCAUUACCUUUGGCCUUCGCCUCGUCGGCCAUGGCGGGCGGGCGGUCCGAUCGGAUCGGGGCGGGGGCGGGGUGGGGAAGCUUCGAGAAGGUUUGGCGGCUGGGUGGAGGAGGACAAAUCCUGGGGUUAGAUGGGGAUUAAGGCGGAGCAGCAGGCCGGGCCGAGCGAGCUCGCUCAAGGGUUCCGGAACCUUCCCACGGCCACUCCAGCGACCCGACGAGCCGAUGCGUCGUGGACUCCCGUCACGCACUCCCUGUUUACGUUUUGCUCAUUUAGAAAGCGUAUAG
rnacentral:rRNA from 1 species